GGGGCUUAACACAUGGCAAGUCGAACGCUGAAGCCCGAGCUUGCUCGGGUGGAUGAGUGGCGAACGGGUGAGUAACACGUGAGUAACCUGCCCAUGUCUCUGGGAUAAGCGCUGGAAACGGCGUCUAAUACUGGAUACGAGCAUCCACUGCAUGGUGAGGUGUUGGAAAGAUUUAUCGGACAUGGAUGGACUCGCGGCCUAUCAGCUUGAUGGUGAGGUAAUGGCUCACCAUGGCGACGACGGGUAGCCGGCCUGAGAGGGUGACCGGCCACACUGGGACUGAGACACGGCCCAGACUCCUACGGGAGGCAGCAGUGGGGAAUAUUGCACAAUGGGCGCAAGCCUGAUGCAGCAACGCCGCGUGAGGGAUGACGGCCUUCGGGUUGUAAACCUCUUUUGUCAGGGAAGAAGCCUUCGGGUGACGGUACCUGGAGAAAAAGCACCGGCUAACUACGUGCCAGCAGCCGCGGUAAUACGUAGGGUGCAAGCGUUGUCCGGAAUUAUUGGGCGUAAAGAGCUCGUAGGCGGCUUGUCGCGUCUGCUGUGAAAACCCGAGGCUCAACCUCGGGCCUGCAGUGGGUACGGGCAGGCUAGAGUGCGGUAGGGGAGAUUGGAAUUCCUGGUGUAGCGGUGGAAUGCGCAGAUAUCAGGAGGAACACCGAUGGCGAAAGGCAGAUCUCUGGGCCGCUACUGACGCUGAGGAGCGAAAGCAUGGGGAGCGAACAGGAUUAGAUACCCUGGUAGUCCAUGCCGUAAACGUUGGGAACUAGAUGUAGGGCCUGUUCCACGGGUUCUGUGUCGUAGCUAACGCAUUAAGUUCCCCGCCUGGGGAGUACGGCCGCAAGGCUAAACUCAAAGGAAUUGACGGGGGCCCGCACAGCGGCGGAGCAUGCGAUUAUUCGAUGCAACGCGAGACCUUACA
rnacentral:rRNA from 1 species